GCCAGUUUUGGAUGAAUCUGGUACUAAUCUUGUCUUCAAAUAAACUGACAAGGCAAUGACCAGCUGCUUAAACAAUUGUAUUUAUUGCCACAAAGUUGCAUAUUGAGGGUUGCUUCCACAUCCUGGUGACCACAUGAUUCCUGGUAUAAAAGAAAAACACAAAUUCAGAAAACUGAAGUCUCUUAAUUGCUCUUGGUCUGGAGACAUUUAUUAAAAGUAAAUAAAGCCAGCAUGUCAUGUGGGACUAACAGGCGUGUUCCCCUUCUGUGAGAAUACCCGAGUCCAAGAUUUGGUCUUGGCCUUCGGUUGGUCGAGAUCAGAGGGAUAAAGGAACUUGGCAAAAAAAGGUUUGAGGGGUUCAUCUCCUGCAGACUAAUUUUUUGUGAGGGCAGCUGGUUGUUGGCAGUUCUGAUGGAGUGGUCGUUGGAGCAGCAGUGGAUGCUGGAGCCUUAGCUGGCAUGGGCGGUGUGAAAAGGUACUGUGGUAAAACUGGUCAGUGUCCAUUAACUGCUGCUGGACUUGAUUGGAUGGCUUGAUCGUCAUUGAAGCCACUUCAGUUGCAGCUCCUGCUGCUUCAGCUCACAGGCAGUUAAUGAAGUUGCUUCUGUAGUAGUUGGAGUUUUGCUGAGAGCCUUCCCUGGCAUGAAAGGGUUAGAGUAUCCUGGGUACAUGAAGUCAGAGUGCAUCAACUGCUGCUGCUGCUGCUGAGGGGGAAGCUUAGAGGCAGUGGACGAAAUUGCUUCUGUGGUAGUUGGAGCUGCAGUAGUUUGAGGGGGAGCCUUUACUGGCAUGAAAGGGUUUCUGUAUCCUGGGUACAUGAGGUAAGAGUGCAUCAAUUCUUGCUGCUGCUGCUGCUGCUUCAACUGUUGCUGCUGCUGCUGUUGCUGCUGCUGCUGCUGCUGCAUCAACUGUUGCUGCAUCAACUGUUGAUGCUGCUGCUCCUCUUGUGGGGGAAGCUUAGAUGCAGUGGAUGA
rnacentral:lncRNA from 1 species